AAGAAGCUGGGAAUAUUGUACUCAUCAAGAUGUGAAUUCGAACAAAGUUGUUAUCUUGUAGACGAUUUUAUAUCCUCGCAUCCAUCACAGUAUUAUGAUGGUCACUUGGAAAAUCUUAAACAUCUGCAUCAGCUUGAAGAACUGAAGGUGCAGGUGUAUCCAGGAAUUAAAGGGAUGUCUAAUCCUAUUUUUCCUCAGUCGUUGAAAAAGUU
rnacentral:lncRNA from 1 species